rnacentral:rRNA from 1 species
AUUGAACGCUGGCGGCAGGCCUAACACAUGCAAGUCGAACGAGGGGCGGACGGGAGUGUAAUGUCUGGGAACCUGCCUGAUGGAGGGGGUUAACUACUGGAACCGGUAGCUAAUACCGCAUACUAUCGGAUGUGCCCAUAUGGGCUUAGCUAGUAGGUGGGGUAAAGGCUCACCUAGGCGACGAUCCCUAGCUGGUCUGAGAGGAUGAUCAGCCACACUGGAACUGAGACACGGUCCAGACUCCUACGGGAGGCAGCAGUGGGGAAUAUUGCACAAUGGGCGCAAGCCUGAUGCAGCCAUGCCGCGUGUAUGAAGAAGGCCUUCGGGUUGUAAAGUACUUUCAGCGGGGAGGCGUUACCCGCAGAAGAAGCACCGGCUAACUCCGUGCCAGCCGCCGCGGUAAUUC